rnacentral:rRNA from 1 species
GAUGAACGCUGGCGGCGUGCCUAAUACAUGCAAGUCGAGCGAACGGACGAGAAGCUUGCUUCUCUGAUGUUAGCGGCGGACGGGUGAGUAACACGUGGAUAACCUACCUAUAAGACUGGGAUAACUUCGGGAAACCGGAGCUAAUGCCGGAUAAUAUUUUGAACCGCAUGGUUCAAAAGUGAAAGACGGUCUUGCUGUCACUUAUAGAUGGAUCCGCGCUGCAUUAGCUAGUUGGUAAGGUAACGGCUUACCAAGGCAACGAUGCACAGCCGACCUGAGAGGGUGAUCGGCCACACUGGAACUGAGACACGGUCCAGACUCCUACGGGAGGCAGCAGUAGGGAAUCUUCCGCAAUGGGCGAAAGCCUGACGGAGCAACGCCGCGUGAGUGAUGAAGGUCUUCGGAUCGUAAAACUCUGUUAUUAGGGAAGAACAUAUGUGUAAGUAACUGUGCACAUCUUGACGGUACCUAAUCAGAAAGCCACGGCUAACUACGUG